GGAGUUUGGACCGUGUCUCAGUUCCAAUGUGGGGGACCUUCCUCUCAGAACCCCUACUGAUCGUCGCCUUGGUGGGCCGUUACCCCGCCAACAAGCUAAUCAGACGCAUCCCCAUCCAUUACCGUUGAAAACUUUGGUCUCGCUUAGAUGUCUGCACGAGACCGCAUCAGGGAUUAAUCCAGUUUUCACUGGGCUAUACCUGAGUAAUGGGCAGGUUGGAUACGCGUUACUCACCCGUGCGCCGGUCGUCAUCUGGCUGAGCAAGCUCAGCCAAUGUUACCCCUCGACUUGCAUGUGUUAAGCCUGUAGCUAGCGUUCAUC
rnacentral:rRNA from 1 species